rnacentral:misc_RNA from 1 species
AAACCACGGUAUUGCAUGGCUGAUAUAUAAUCCAUACAAAGGAUAUAACCAAGUAGCAUGGUCUUAUAUUGUGGGCUGGCGGUGUGCUACAAGUAACAAAAAGUACAACCGGAUUAAUUACUGAAAUCAUAAAUAUAAAGAGGGAAUCGCUAGUAAUCUUUAUUGUAAUAACAUAAAGGUGAACUAACAAUACAGUUUAGUGUGCACACACUGCCCGUCACAUCCGGGAAAACCACAAAGCCCUAAGUUUGUAUAGUGUUUAAUAAACCAAUUCAAACAUAAGCUUAUUGUUAACAAGGAUGAAGUCGUAACAAGGUUUGCGUAGGGGAACCUGCUCAAGAUUAUGCU